rnacentral:misc_RNA from 1 species
UGCCCUUGCAGGCACGCCGGUUUUCAAGACCGGUGCCUUAAACCACUCGGCCACCCUUCCUGCGCUCUGAACACCAGCACUUAGCAAAGCGGAAGAGGCAGCGAAAGAGGUGAUUGCCCUGAAAGGGCGCUCCUUGAUUGACCAUAGGAUGUUGGCGCCUUGUCGGGCAACCCGUCCCCGGGCCGCGCCUAACUCUGGUUCAUCAAGCAACGAUAAAGUCGCCGGCCGUCAGCGAAUGGACACCGUGAAGCUUGAUAUCGAUGGGGCCACCCGA